rnacentral:rRNA from 1 species
UGGGGAAUAUUGCACAAUGGGCGCAAGCCUGAUGCAGCCAUGCCGCGUGUAUGAAGAAGGCCUUCGGGUUGUAAAGUACUUUCAGCGAGGAGGAAGGCAUUGUGGUUAAUAACCGCAGUGAUUGACGUUACUCGCAGAAGAAGCACCGGCUAACUCCGUGCCAGCAGCCGCGGUAAUACGGAGGGUGCAAGCGUUAAUCGGAAUUACUGGGCGUAAAGCGCACGCAGGCGGUCUGUCAAGUCGGAUGUGAAAUCCCCGGGCUCAACCCGGGAACUGCAUUCGAAACUGGCAGACUAGAGUCUUGUAGAGGGGGGUAGAAUUCCAGGUGUAGCGGUGAAAUGCGUAGAGAUCUGGAGGAAUACCGGUGGCGAAGGCGGCCCCCUGGACAAAGACUGACGCUCAGGUGCGAAAGCGUGGGGAGCAAACA